UACGUAGGUGGCAAGCGUUGUCCGGAUUUAUUGGGUUUAAAGGGUGCGUAGGCGGUCUUAUAAGUCAGUGGUGAAAUACGGCAGCUCAACUGUCGAGGUGCCAUUGAUACUGUAGGACUUGAGUACAGACGAGGUAGGCGGAAUUGACGGUGUAGCGGUGAAAAUGCUUAGAUAUCGUCAAGAACACCGAUAGCGAAGGCAGCUUACUAGGCUGUAACUGACGCUGAGGCACGAAGGCGUGGGUAGCAAAACAGG
rnacentral:rRNA from 1 species